rnacentral:tRNA from 1 species
GAAGGUAUAGCACAAGUGGUGGAGCACAUGCUUAGCAUGCAUGAGGUGCUGGGUUCAAUCCCUAGUAUCUCCA